rnacentral:misc_RNA from 1 species
GUGAAUCAUCGAAUUUUUGAACGCAAAUUGCACUUUCUGGUAUUCCGGAAAGUAUGCCUGUUUGAGGGUCAGUUAAAUAAAAAUCGGUGUUGUGGCUGCCGUUCGUGUGACGCGUCGUACUUGAGGUGUCUUACCUUCGGUUAAGUGACUUAAAAUUUUGCAUGAGUUUCGAACGUAUUUAAAUGUCUUACGGACGUUGGAGAUAUCGAAUACUUUAUUAGGUUCUGUCAUCC